ensembl:misc_RNA 7SK 7SK RNA
GGAUGUGAGGGCGGAUCUGGCUGCGACAUCUGUCACCCCAUUGACCUCCAGGGUUGAGGCUGAUCUGGCUGGCUAGGCGGGUGUCCCCUUCCUCCCUCACUGCUCCAUGUGCGUCCCUCCAGAAGCUGCACACUCGGUAGAAGAGUAUGGCCUUCCCUGAAUAGAGACGGACAGGUCUUUGGUCGAUGGUAUAUGAGUAGCUGCGCUCCUCUGCUAGAACCUCCAAACAAGCUCUCAAGCAAAGCUUGUGAAGUUCUCCCCUGUGGGGGGGUGGGGGGGGUGGGGAGGAGCUAUUGACAUUCUUCACAUGUAAACACACACACCCCCCAUACACACACACACAGUUU